rnacentral:rRNA from 1 species
GACGAACGCUGGCGGCGUGCCUAAUACAUGCAAGUCGAGCGAAGUUUUUCUGGUGCUUGCACCGGAAAAACUUAGCGGCGAACGGGUGAGUAACACGUAAAGAACCUGCCUCAUAGACUGGGACAACUAUUGGAAACGAUAGCUAAUACCGGAUAACAGCAUUAACUGCAUGGUUGAUGUUUGAAAGUUGGUUUUGCUAACACUAUAAGAUGGCUUUGCGGUGCAUUAGCUAGUUGGUGGGGUAAAGGCCUACCAAGGCGACGAUGCAUAGCCGACCUGAGAGGGUGAUCGGCCACACUGGGACUGAGACACGGCCCAGACUCCUACGGGAGGCAGCAGUAGGGAAUCUUCCGCAAUGGGCGAAAGCCUGACGGAGCAACGCCGCGUGAGUGAAGAAGGAUUUCGGUUCGUAAAGCUCUGUUGUUAGGGAAGAAUGAUUAUGUAGUAACUAUACAUAGUAGAGACGGUACCUAACCAGAAAGCCACGGCUAACUACGUG